UUCAAAGUUACUCAACUAAGUAUAUGGGUCAAGUAAUUAUAGAAAAAAAAAUCCUCUACUUAACAUAAUAAACGAAAAAUUACCUAGACAUCGGAAAAAAAAACAUAAAUAAUGUUGCUCCGCAAUUUUCUUUUCCCUCUGCCGCCGUGUGGCUCCUCUCUUCUUAUCCUCCAAAACUAUGGUCUGUUUUACAGGGCUGGUCCAACACAUAUUAGGCUCAAGACGAAACCUAAAAUGUGGCAUUUUAAUUUAUUACUAGUUUGUGAAAAAAAAUUAUUAAUAUCAUUUUUUUACGAAAGUAAUAUUGUUAUCUAAAAUUUCACUUUUCAAACUUUUUUUGGAUGCACAACCAUUCAUUAAAUUAUCGUAAUCGGUUUCGUUUGAAACUCUUUUUCAAUCGACAAUAAAACAAAUUCAUGCAAUCUUUGUUGACACAUUGUUGAUCUUAAAUAAGAUAUUCUUAACUUUAAUUUUGAAAAACUUUUUUGUGUGGCAUACCCUUGUGAAAAACAUAAGAACAACAUCGUUCCACAAGCAAGCCAACUUACACGACCGGUACGACCAUGGUAGAAUUUGUGUGGCAUACCCUUGUGAAAAACAUCGUUCCAUAGAGAGCAAGACAAUUUCAUUACUAGCACUGACUCACUGGUGUGAACAUGUCCCUCGCGAACUUAAGCAAAAAAAACACUAGGGGUUUUCACCUCUAAGACUUCUAGCGAACGAUACCCUCGACCUUACAAAGUCAUCUUAUCAGGAGCAACGGCUU
rnacentral:lncRNA from 1 species